rnacentral:lncRNA from 1 species
UCGAAAACUUCACGGCCAAAGCCCUGAAUCUGCUCCUACAAGACUGCAACCUCAUCAUGUCGACAUUCAAGUUCCAGCUUCAACUUCAAUUCUUCGGUCCCACAUUCAUUCUUCGCGCUUAAGCAAAUAAUCUGGUUUACGAGACACCGAUUCAUUCAUACACGAGUUUCUACUGAAUUUUCUUCGGAUUUAUUGUUAUAUUUUGUCUUCAAUUGAAGAUGAAGAUCAACAUCGAUAGGGAGGCGCGGAAAGUUGCCGUUGAUAAUCGAAUUCCCCUCCGGAAUUACUUCCGAAUCGCCGAUAAUCUCUUAAAACAGGUGAUCUUUUCGGAAUCGUUAUUUUUUUAUUGUUGUAUUUGAUUAUCGAUGCUGAAUUGCUAAUGGUUGAUGAUUAUUUCGAAGCUUUUCUAAUUUUCAUUUCCUUCUCUAUACGGAUGUUGAAGUGAUUUUCGUUGCAGUUUUCUUUAUCGGUGGUUUAAGUAUUAGAAUUGUGCUUUGUUGCCAUGAAUCUUUUUAUCCGUAAUUGAGUUCGUUUUCUCAAAAUGGCAGGCUAAUAUUUAUCGGGAAGAGAAUAAUGUUGUGGAUUUGUUUAUCAUACUUCUUAGGUUUUCAAGGUAAGGCUCUAGUUAAUACUUGUAUUUCCAUUGCCUAGGGUUGUUGAUUCUUUGUGUAGGAGUUCGCUUCUCAACUUGUUUUUAUUUUCUUAGCUUGGUUUCUGAAACUAUACCACGGCAUCGUGAUUAUCCAGCUUUUUUCCCAAAUGAGAAGAUAUACUAUAAGAAGGUGAGUAAGAAGUGCACAUCUCGCUUCUUUUCCAUGAAUGGUGUACGAAUGUUGUCUAAAGUUGUUUCAUGUUGUCCUGCCAGAAACUACUGAAUGUAGUGGAUGAACUUGAGUCUUUGAAGCCCGAAUUUGAUCGUCGGGUAAAUGAACUGGAGAAAGUGUAUGGACGACCUCGUCUUCCUCCACCUGAUGAGCAGGGAAGUGUUUCAAACAGUUUCCGGCCUUCUCCUAAGGAACAGCCGUAUGUGAAUGGAAAUUAUUCGUUAAUGUUGGAUCAAAAGCAGGUAUAACCUUCAAUUUUUCUAAUGAGACUUUCUUUGCUUGUAAAUGCAGUUUUAAAUGGAAAUUCCAGCAAUUAUUUUGAGUUUCUUUUGCUUUUUUGAUUUCUUUCAUAUUUUCUACAUGGGCAUGUGAUUAUUAUUAUAUUACUUGUGAUUUGUGAUUCUAUUCUUGUUCUCCCUUCUUCUCUUGAUUCUUAGCAUGUGCAUUCACGUCCCCAAUCUUCACGGAGGUAUAGUGAUGACCGAGGCCAAGUUUCAGAAUCAAGUUCCUUAAGGCUUGAGAAUAAGUUCUCAACUCUGUGAGUAGACUCCUUUCCCAUUUAUUUCGCACACUUUUAUAUGAACAAGGGCAUAGUAGUAAGUAUAAAUACUUCUCUUGAUGAUGUAGGGAGAUAAAUCGUUCCAAUAUUUGUUUCUUAUUAUAAAAAAAUGAUUCCAAUAUUUAUGUUCUAGUCCAAGAAAGAAGAAGUAAUUUUGUAGUUCAAGUAGUUACCUAAAUAGUAGAAGACAGAAUGGGACUGGCAACUUGCAUUCUGAACCGAGUUGACCGAAAAAAGAAAGUAUGUUGACGAUGCCAAAGUUCUUUUGCAGCUGUCCUCAAGAUUGAAUAGAAAGACAGUUUCAGUACAAGGAUAAUAGACUGUCAUAAUUUGAAUGGGAG